rnacentral:rRNA from 1 species
UACGUAGGUGGCAAGCGUUGUCCGGAAUCACUGGGCGUAAAGCGCGCGCAGGCGGCGAUCUACGUCUGGGGUGAAAGCCCGGAGCUCAACUCCGGGACUGCCUUGGAUACGGGAUCGCUUGAGGAUUGGAGAGGCAAGGGGAAUUCCACGUGUAGCGGUGAAAUGCGUAGAUAUGUGGAGGAACACCUGUGGCGAAGGCGCCUUGCUGGCCGAUUUCUGACGCUGAGGCGCGAAAGCGUGGGGAGCAAACAGG